rnacentral:rRNA from 1 species
UCAAACGAGGAGAGGCAUACGGUGGAUCCUUAGGUACCCAGAGACGAGGAAGGGCGUAAUAAUCGACGAAAUACUUCGGGGAGUUGAAAAAAAGCAUAGAUCUGGAGAUUCCCGAAUAGGUCAACCUUUCGAACUGCUGUUGAAUCCAUGGGCAGGCAAGAGACAACUUGGUGAAUUGAAACAUCUUAGUAGCCAGAGGAAAAGAAAGCAAAAGCGAUACCUGUAGUAGCGGCGAGCAAAAUGGGAGCAGCCUAAACUGUGAAAACGGGGUUGUGGGAGAGCAAUACAAGCAAGCGUCGUGCUGCUAGGCAAAGCAGGGGAAUAACGCACCCUAGAUAGUUAGAGUCCAGUAGCCGAAAGCAUCACUAGCUUGUGCUCUGGCCCGAGUAGCAUGGGGCAUGUAGAAUCCCGUGUAAAUCAACAAGUACCACCUUGCAAGGCUCAAUACUCUUGGGUGACCGAUAGCGAAGUAGUGCCGCGAGAGAAGGGUGAAAAGAACCCCCAACAGGGAGUGAAAUUUAGAACAUGAAAUCGUAAGCUCUCAAGCAGUGGGAGGAACGAAGUGGCUCUGAUCGCGUACCUGUUGAAGAAUGAACCGGCGACUGAUAGGCAGUGGCUUGGUUAAGGAACCCACCAGAGCCGUAGUGAAAGUGAGUCUUCUUAGGGUAAUAGUCAUUACUUAUAGAACCGAACCUGGGUGAUCUAUCCAUGACUAUGAUGAAACUUGGAUGAAACUAAGUGGUGGUCCGAACGGACUGAUGUUGAAGAAUCAGCAGAUGAGUUGUGGUUAGGGGUGAAAUGCCACUCGAACCCAGAGCUAGCUGGUUCUCCCUGAAAUACGUUGAGGCGUAACAGUUGACUAGACAUCUAGGGGUAUAGCAUUGUUUUGGUGCGGCCACAAGAACGGUACCAAAUCGAGGCAAACUCUAAAUACUAUAUAUGACCUCCGAAUAACAGGGGUCAAGGUCGGCCAGUAAGCGAUAGGGGAUAAGCUUCAUCGUCGAGAGGGAAACAACCCGGAUCACCAGCCAAGGGCCGUAAAUGACCGUUUAGUGAUAAAGGAGGUAGGAGUACAGAGACAGCCAGGAGGUUUGCCUAGAAGCAGCCACCCUUGAAAGAGUGCGUAAUAUCUUACUGAUUGAGCGCUCUUACAUCGAAGAUGAACGGGGCUAAACGAUCUACCGAAGCUGUGGGAUGUGAAAAACAUUGGUAGGGGAGUGUUCUGCCUUAGAAGCAAGAUUCAACGCGAGCCAUAAUAAGAUGAAGCAGAUAUGAGAACGUCGGCUUGAGUAACACAAACAUUGGUGAGUAAUCCAAUGCCCCGAAAACCUAAGGGUUCCGCUGCAAGGUUCAUCCAUAGAGGGUGAGUCAGGGCCUAAGAUCUGGCCAAAAGGUGUAGUCGAUAGACAACAGGUGAAUAUUUCUGUACUACCCUCUUAUUGGUCCCGAGGGAUGGAGGAGGCUAGGUUAGCCAAAAGAUGGUUAUUGGUUCAAGGACACAAGGUAACCCUCCCUAUUUUUUAGGGUAGGUAAGAAGGGGUAGAUAAAAUGCUCCAGCUAAUGUUCGAGUACUAGGCGCCUACGACGCUCAAGUAACCCAUGCUAUACUCCCAAGAAAAGCUCGAACGACCUUUAACAAAGGGGCACUUAUACCCGAAACUGACACAGGUAGGUAGGUAGAGAAUACCUAGGGGCAUGAGACAACUCUCUCUAAGGAACUCGGCAAAAUAGCCCUGCAACUUCGAGAGAAGGGGUGAUCCCUCAGGGGGGCAAAGUGACCAGGCCCGGGCGACUGUUUACCAAAAACACAGGUUUUUGUAAAGUCGUAAGACCAUGCAUCGGGGCUGACGCUUGCCCAGUGCAAGAAGGCGAAGGAAGUUGGUGAUCACCUGAUGACAGGGGAAGGGCCAGCGACCGAAGCUUUAGUGAACGGCGACUGUAACUAUAAUGGCCCUAAGAUAGCAAAAUUUAAUGUCGGGUAAGUUCUGACCCGCACAAAUGGCGUAACGAUUUGGGCAUUGUCUCGGAGAGAGGCUCGGUGAAAUAGACAUGUAUGCGAAGAUGCAGACUACCUACACCAGGACAGAAAGACCCUAUGAAGCUUCACUGUUUCCCGGGAUUGACGU